rnacentral:sRNA from 1 species
GCUUCCCAAUUCUGAUGCCUUCUCUGAAGUUGGAAUCUCAAGUGCUAGAAUCAGUUGUUACUUUCAAAAUUAUAUUAUCAAGAAAAGCAGAGAAUA